GUCAGGCAGUUACGGACUAAAGUUGUUUGUAUUUGUUUAUUUAGCCGUUGUUUACGAUGUUUUGAUGUUAUUAUUUGUGAUCCACGUUUAAAGUAGUUUUUAUUCCUGUCCUGUAAAUAAAAUCCACCGGAUUAUUUUACUGUUGAACCCUGAGUGAAGACAGCAGGUCUGUGAAUGGGUCCAGCAGGCGGCGCCAGAGCUGAUGUGAUAAAUGAAGCCCUAGCAGCACAGUAAACGGAAGAGGAAGAGGAAGAAGAAGAAGUAGAAGCGAAAAGAACUACAAAACAAAAUGUCCGCCCUCAUCUGCAGACGAACAGACUGGAGAGUUUAUUUACCGUGAACAUCGACAUUUGAAGUACUUUUUCACCUAAAUGCUACUUUCUGAUGAGGUGACACCAACCAAAUUCCUGGUAUGUUGUUUACUUGGCCAUGAAUGUUGAUUCUGAAGAGGAGAAGAAGAGGAACGAUCACACAGAUGGAAACUACAAACGGUGGGUCUCUGUUAACGGGUUCUUCACCUGCUGUCUGCUCAGCGUUGAGGCCAACAAACAAACCAGUCGACCUGCUUCCUCACUUCAGGCCCUCAGGAUGCUGAAUCAACGGUCUGGUCCCUUCCUGUGCUCCCUCUAUGUUCUCCUCAGGUGAUUUCCAGACUGACUGUAGGCCCAGCGUGUGAGUGUAUGUCUGUAUUUGUGUAUCUUGGUUUUGUGUCAGGCCCAGCAGUCCCAGGUCAAGCUGACAGUCUGCAACAGCUGAGGACCUUGGAGGGAGCGCCGAUGACGAGGGGAAAUCAGAUACUUUGCCUCCCUCUGUCUUCAUAGCAGAUAUACACACCUCUGGCCUCGUUUCUCACCUGUUCACAGACAACAGAGACACACUCAGGCAUCACUGCUCACUGUCCUUUCAGACACAAGUAUCUGGUCCAGGUUUGGAAUGAAGAUGGGGUUGUAAAUGCUCACAGGGUCUAAGGAUCAGACUAAUUCCUGGAUGUAAACAGUGUUCAUUUUUGACAGUUUGGCCAAUAUUUGUGCAAUACUUCUGUCACUGAAAUAGGAAAUGAUCUUCUAAGAUGCAUUUUGCGUACAUUUUUUGACACAGAGUUACUAUUGUUUAUCCCUCGUGUCGCCCUGCGAGUCAAAAUUGACACGUUUUAAAGUUUGAAAAUGUGGAAAAAAUAUAUAUUUUCACAGUGAAACUUCUGAUGUCCACAUUUUCAACAUUUCAAGCUGCCUGAAAUCAGUUUUUAGUAAAAGUCUGUGACUUUUAGUUUUGCUGAUGAGGUUAAUUUGGCUCUACAGUGUUGAAUAAUGACGUGUUUCUUUAUUUAUUAGGCUACAGAAUGUGUUGGAAGCGCUGUUCCCUCUAAGCUGCGCGCGUGCGCAGUUGCGCACUGCUGACACGGUCUCCGCGCACACAAAAUCUGCGCUGCACAAAAAAAAAUCCAACCUAAAUUGUAAAUAAAAUAAACACGUAACAAUUCAUUCUGUGCUAUUUUUCAAUGUGAGUCAGUGAGUGACCGGUGACUGGCUGCUGCAGCCAGUGAUGCGAUUCACAUACGUAUUUACCAUAGACUGUAUAUAAUGGUAUUUACGCAGCUAAUCAACGUCAGGCGUCCUUAUGUGUAGCUAUCGUUGUUCUCAUAGAUAUGAAUGAGUAGAUAGGACACGCCCCUUUGAGCUGCGUGCUACUGCGAAGCUAAGCGAGUGGGGGCAAAGUUUCAGUGCAUUCCGUUGAUGUAGACGGCGUGAAAACGGAAACAAGAAGUAUGCUGGCUCACUGUGCUGCAUACAAUUACACACUGUGCUGUACGAUUGAGACAAGGAAACUUGGGAUGACUUUUCAUAGGUAAGAAUAGUUUUUGGCUCUUUUUUUAUUAUGAAAUCUUGUUGAGAGCUUCCAGUCUAUGAGAGCUAACUAGUUAGCCACUAGCAAAACACUAAGGCGAGCAAGCAGCUUGACAACCAAAUACCAGACGAUUAAUAGUAGCUGUAGUAUAGUUGUACAAGCAGUAGUAGUAAUACUAAAAGUACAAGCAGCAGUAGUAGUAUAAACAGCUGUUAGAGUCGUAGAAGUAGUAUCAGCAUUUGUAAUAGUAUUACAAGUUGUAGUAGCAGUGCCAGUAUCAGCAGCAGUAGUGAGUACUACCACUACUACUAGUAGUAGUCACAUUGCUAUUACUACCACCAAUACUACCAAUAGUAGUUAUAAAGCCUAACUCAUAUAUAUCCAGAUUACCAUCUAUGUUCUUCCUCCAAACCCAUUUUAUGAUUGGGAUUACAGGCAGUUCUUUAGGACUGCUCUCAAAUAAUUGAAAUGUUACUAAACAAGGUUAUACUUAUCAAAUUAAAUAGCUCUGGUCUCCAGUAUAUUGGCGAAUUCGGUUCUUUGUACUUAAUUUAUUAGCAUGAUUUCUUUUUAAUAUGUUGUGUACAGACUUAAUUACUUCUCUGUCUACUUUUCUUAUU